GAUCAUUAUUGAAAUAAAUCUGAUGAGUUGCUGCUGGUUCUCUAGGGAGCAUGUGCACACUUGUCAUCUUUAUAUCUCCACCUGUGCACCUUUUGUAGACCUGGAUAACUUUCUGAGUGCCUAGCGCUCAGGUUUGAGGAUUGACUUCUUCUCACGUUUCCAGGUCUAUGUUUCUUCAUAUACUCCAAUGUAUGUUAUAGAAUGUAAUAAAAUGGCCUUUGUGCCUAUAAACCUAUACAACUUUCAGCAACGGAUCUCUUGGCUCUCGCAUCGAUGAAGAACGCAGCGAAAUGCGAUAAGUAAUGUGAAUUGCAGAAUUCAGUGAAUCAUCGAAUCUUUGAACGCACCUUGCGCUCCUUGGUAUUCCGAGGAGCAUGCCUGUUUGAGUGUCAUUAAUAUAUAUCAACCUCUUCAACUUUGUUGAGUGUUGGAUGUGGGGGCUUUUAUUUUGCUGGUCUCUCUCUGAGGUCAGCUCCCCUGAAAUGCAUUAGCGGAACAAUUUGCAGACCGUUCAUUGGUGUGAUAACUAUCUACGCUAUUUGACGUGAAGCAGUUCAGCUUAUACCCGUCCGUUGACUUGGACAAAUUUUUCAUUAAUGUGACCUCAAAUCAGGUAGG
rnacentral:rRNA from 1 species